CUAAAGCAAACCGGAUAAUUAUAACAUUUUCAAAAUACCAGUGAAAAGGUCACAUAAAGGGAACAACCGGAAGAUUUCACCGGAAUAGGAUGGAUUUUAAUUGGUAGAGGACCGACUGGGGAAACCCUCCUAUUUGGUAUUCCAAGCGCAUAAAAGACAAAAUUCACCUUUACUGCGGGACAUGUCCGGAUUUUGCUGUCGUAAUCGCCCUGGUACAUCCUCCGUAAUCUACAAAAUGCCUUCCCAGAGCCACCUAAAGCAAAAGCAUUGUUUCGAGAUUUUCGGGACGUCACUGGAAAGCUUUUGCUGCAAAAUACUGUACAAUAUACCGGAGGAUAGAUUAAGAUAAUAUAGGGCCAUGAAAUGUAACAAAAACGAUACCAAGAAGAAAAAUUUCCAUGCAGUAACAUUUGGCUGCAUUGCUAAAUCGCACAGAAGGCGAUUUCCUGUUAACUGUUAUUUAUCUGUAUUAACA